rnacentral:rRNA from 1 species
ACAGUGGAUGCGAGCAUCUUUGUAGCAAGUUAGUAAGGGCAUACGGUGGAUGUCUUGGCACCAGGAGCCGAUGAAGGACGUAGGAGACUGCGAAAAGUCUAGGG